AGAGUUAAAUCAAAAACAGCAACAGUAAACAAGUAGAUCUCUGAUUAAAUCCAACAAGCAUCAACAAUAAAUAUCAAUCUAACUUCCAAGUCAAAAUGAAGUAAAACAGCAACAGAUCUGACCCAUAAAAACAUAAAGAAAACAAAAAAAAAGCUUUAAGAUCAGAUCAAAUACCAGCGGCACCGGUAACGAGAACGCGAACUGGAUCUUUAGCCAUUUUGUAGAAGAUCUAGAAGUUUCCGAUGAGCGAUGAAAACUAUGAUCAGAGCUGGUAAUCAGAGUGUGAA
rnacentral:lncRNA from 1 species